GGGGAAUUUUCCGCAAUGGGCGAAAGCCUGACGGAGCAAUACCGCGUGAGGGAUGACGGCCUAUGGGUUGUAAACCUCUUUUCUCAGGGAGGAAUCAAUGACGUGUACCUGAGGAAUAAGCAUCGGCUAACUCCGUGCCAGCAGCCGCGGUAAGACGGAGGAUGCAAGUGUUAUCCGGAAUCACUGGGCGUAAAGCGUCUGUAGGUGGUCAAAUAAGUCAACUGUUAAAUCUUGAGGCUUAACCUCAAAAUCGCAGUCGAAACUAUUAGACUAGAGUAUAGUAGGGGUAAAGGGAAUUUCCAGUGGAGCGGUGAAAUGCGUAGAGAUUGGAAAGAACACCGAUGGCGAAGGCACUUUACUGGGCUAUUACUAACACUGAGAGACGAAAGCUAGGGUAGCAAAUGGGAUUAGAUACCCCAGUAGUC
rnacentral:rRNA from 1 species